rnacentral:rRNA from 1 species
CACCCUAGUACCAGGCAAUUCUNUAUAAUUAUAGAACCUUUUAUGUUAAAACUAGUAACAAGAAGAACCCCCUUCUCUUUNAUGCAAGCAUAAGUNAGUUAGGACCAACCGCUGACAAUUAACAUCCAUGAGUUCANAGUAAAAACACUACAAGAAAACCCUACUACACCUUAUGUUAAUCUAACACAAGAGCAUUACAAGAAAGAUUUAAAGAAAAAGAAGGAACUCGGCAAACAUUAACCCCGCCUGUUUACCAAAAACAUCGCCUCUUGAUAAACCUAUAAGAGGUCCAGCCUGCCCAGUGACUCUGUUCAACGGCCGCGGUAUCCUAACCGUGCGAAGGUAGCGUAAUCACUUGUUCUUUAAAUGAGGACUAGUAUGAAUGGCACCACGAGGGUUAUACUGUCUCCUUUUUCUAAUCAGUGAAACUAAUCUUCCCGUGAAGAGGCGGGAAUAAGAAUAUAAGACGAGAAGACCCUAUGGAGCUUUAAACAAACAUACAAUUGCCUCUUCUCAUAAAAAUUCCAGAAAAAACACUUCUAUUUAGGCACUUUGAUAUAAAGUUUUAGGUUGGGGUGACCCCGGGGUAAAAAACAACCUCCGCAGUGAAAGGGACUUUUUCCCUAAACCAAGGGCCACGCCCCUAAGAAUCAAUAAAUUGACACUAAUUGNCCCAAUUAAUUGAUCAAUGAACCAAGUUACCCUAGGGAUAACAGCGCAAUCCACUUCAAGAGCCCCUAUCGACAAGUGGGUUUACGNCCUCGAUGUUGGAUCAGGGUAUCCUAGUGGUGCAGCCGCUACUAAUGGUUCGUUUGUUCAACGAUU